CGCACAUCGCGCCCUUUGGCAUUCCGGGGGGCAUGCCCGUUCGAGCGUCAUUAAAACCCAUCAAGCCUGGCUUGGUUUUGGGCGACGGGACUUUCCCCGCGCCUCGAUUUCGCCGGCUGGACGACCCCGAUCCUUAAGCGUUGUGCAAAUCUCGCUGGCGGAACGGGCGGCCACGCCGUUAACUCUUAAUCAAAAUCUGACCUCGGAUCGGGUAGGAAUACCCGCUGAACUUAA
rnacentral:misc_RNA from 1 species